UUUGAAAUCUGGCUCUUUCAGAGUCCGAGUUGUAAUUUGAAGAAGGUAUCUUUGGGUCUGGCUCUUGUCUAUGUUUCUUGGAACAGAACGUCACAGAGGGUGAGAAUCCCGUGCGAUGAGAUGAUCCAGGCCUAUGUAAAGUUCCUUCGAAGAGUCGAGUUGUUUGGGAAUGCAGCUCUAAGUGGGUGGUAAAUUCCAUCUAAAGCUAAAUAUUGGCGAGAGACCGAUAGCGAACAAGUACAGUGAUGGAAAGAUGAAAAGAACUUUGAAAAGAGAGUGAAAAAGUACGUGAAAUUGUUGAAAGGGAAGGGCUUGAGAUCAGACUUGGUAUUUUGUAUGUUACUUCUUCGGGGGUGGCCUCUACAGUUUAUCGGGCCAGCAUCAGUUUGGGCGGUAGGAGAAUUGCGUUGGAAUGUGGCACGGCUUCGGUUGUGUGUUAUAGCCUUCGUCGAUACUGCCAGCCUAGACUGAGGACUGCGGUUUAUACCUAGGAUGUUGGCAUAAUGAUCUUAAGUCGCCCGUCUUGAACAAGGGGACCAUGC
rnacentral:rRNA from 1 species